GGAGGAAGCAGGCUCCCUGCUGAGCAGCGAGCCCGAUGCGGGGCUCAAUCCCAGGAUCCUGAGAUCAUGACCUGAGCCAAAGGCAGCGGCUUAACCCACUGAGCCACCCAGGCGCCCCAGAACACCAAGUUUUUAUAAUCAGUUGGAAAGCGUGAAUCGUGAAGAUUCUUCACAUACUAACUACUGGUCAAUGGCAUAACCUCCCUGGCAGUUCCCACGGUGCUUGGCAGCCACGUUCCUCCCUCUCUGGCUUGCCCCCACCCAGUAUCAUGGGGCCUGGGACCUGUUUGUCUCUGCUAGGCAUCUCCCCAGUGACUUUUGUAUAAUGAUCUCUGUGUCAAAUGGUAAUAUGAUGCCUUCGCAGUAGGAUGCCUUCCUAAAGAAACAACCAAAACUUCAAAAAGGCAACGACUAUUAGUUUUUUAAUACCCAAAGCAUUCUUUACCUUUAUUAUUGCUUCUUUUUAUUAUUGUCUCCAAAUUUCGUUUAGAGACAUUUCUGUGGGCAGAAAAAACUAUAAAGGUUUAUCAUUACAGAGAACAGAGAGAUAAAAGACAGCUGGACUGUACCAAUUUGUAUGCUUCUUUCUGUUAUUUUCAGGAAAAUAAGUUUAAUAGUAACUGAAACUGCACUAAACUCAGUAACAGUGUUUUAGAUAAAAACCCAUAUUGCUACUGUAGAUGAACAGACUGAUUCCCCUUAUGUAACUAAGCUAUUCUAUUUACACAUCUUUAUAUCUUAUCUCUUAAUUUUUGAUACACACCCAAGCUUACAUUGGAAAAACGGAUACCAAGCCACUACUUAAAAGCUAUAAAAGCUCCACAUAAAAUAUUUCAUUUUAGCUACAAGUUAUUCAUUGCAUAGGAAUUUAUAAAUAGUCUGGGUAUUUCAUAGGAAUUGCAUUUCAAGAGUAAAUUAAUCUUAUCUAAAAACAUAGGGAUACUUUUAAAAUGCAUUAAGAUAAGUUCCAUAUUCAGUUGAUGAUACCAUUGAAGUAGGAUAAUGCAGUUAGAUAAACAAGCUAAAAAGAAAAAAGAAUAUAUUUUGUGGUCCUUACUGUUUGCGCUAUUGUUUCCCACAGCUUAGCCAUAUCUGUUUGUAUAUUCUAAGUAUUAAGCUGAUAUGUAGCUAAAGAUUUCUUACAGUUCUGGUAACUGGUAACUAGUGCUGUGAAAGAUUUUGGUAUUGUAACCUUCCCAGUUUUGUGAGUUAUAUAUUGUAUAUUGAAGAUGACUAAUAAAUUGGAGUAAUAUAUUUAUCUAGAGCUGGGAAAAUAUGAUAAUUAUUUUCAAGUCUUCAAGUAAGUUGUAUGGAAUUUGUUUCUUUCUCUCAAGUGAGAUACAAGUCUCACUUUUAUGUUAAAAUGUCUAUUUAUACAACAGGUUUCUCCUUUUACUGGUUUUAUUAAUUUUCAUAUUAAAAUUUUUCUUAUCUUUUGAUACCAAAAUAAUUAUCAUGCUGGUUAUUCAGACUGCCAAGAUGUAUUUUAGUUUGCGGGAAUUUUGGCAGACAAAAUAUUUAAUAACAAACCAGCUUUGUAUAUUUUGUGGCUUUGGGGGCAAGAAUUUUACCUUUGAAACUCUAUAUGAGGCAGUGCUAAUAUUAACAAAGUCAAUGAUUAGACAGUAUUACUUGUGAUCAUCAGUAGAAGGUUUUCUCAAGUUGUAUAAAUCAGUGCAUUUAUUUAUUAUGUUGUGAAAUUUAAUCUUUAUGCAAAAUGCAUAUUCUAGCUCUUUUCUUUGUUACUGCUGUUGCUUAGAGUGUAAUAGGUCUGUUAAUGAUUUACUUACGUACUUGAAGUACUCAUUUCUGUCAAACAGAUGCCCAGUUUUUCUCCUUGUUAAAAAAAAGAUAUCUUUUUUACUAUCAUCAAUAACUAAAUAGUAAUAGGGAUUUGUUAAAAAAUAACUUGCCUAUUUAAAAUAAAUACAAAAAAGGGCAUAAUGCCAAAAUGAAAUCAGCAGUAUUAAGAAUUUAAUAUAACCAAGGGAUUCACUGUGCCAUAUUUUCUCAAUAUAUAUUUUAUCUUCAAGUCAGAACUUUUUUUUGUGACAAACUUUCUGUUUUUCUUGUAAAGGAGAUCUCAGCGAUUGUAUGCUAUUCUAACACUCAACUGACCCCUGAGAUUCUUGAACCCCAAAAUAUUACCGACUUCUAGGGCCCAGCUUUAGAUUCCAGGGUGUGCAUUUUUAAGGCAUGUUUGCAUUUGACUGGCCUACUUUACAAAUAGUAACCUUGAUGGAUAAUGCUUUAUUUGUUUCUGUCAGUUAAGUCUGUAGGACUUGAAUUUGAGUUUUGUGUUACUUUUGUUUUAAAAAAGUAUUCUUUGUUCAACUCUUUAAAAAACUAGAAAUUUAAAACACAAGGGCAUAACCUCCCACAGAGAAUAAAAUCAGGUGUUUUUUAGGAAGAAAAAAAAUGUCCUGACCUAAUGUGAGGCAAUGUUGCACACGAAAAGAACCGAUUUAACAAGCCGCAAAUUCAACCAUUUAUGGUUUUACGGUGUGAGCAAUGGGUGAACUGUGAACUGCUUAAGAACUAUAGUAGGAGAUUAAGAAUUAAUUUGCUAUAGUUUUAAAGAGAGUUUUGUGUUAAUUUUACUGUUGCACAAGCAAUUAUUGAAGGCAGGAAAAAUAUAAGAGAAACAUCAUAUUGAAAUAUGGAAACAUCAUAAAGGAAAGGGAGCUUGAGCUGGUAAUUUGGCCAAGAUUUGGAAUGGGUAGUUUGAACAUAGAUAUUUUCCACCUUAUUUCAUAGAAAUGCAGAACAUGUGUGAGAUGAAGGGUAGGCACAAUACCACAAAACCCAAAAAAGUCACAAUUUUUUGUGUGGUAUCAAAAUAGCCAGUGAAUUCAGGGAACUCAUUCUAAGGUUGCAGGUUAGAAGUCCGUGAAGAAGGCAGUUUGGAUGACCUCAUCAUUUGUGUUUAUCACAUGAUGCAAAUUUCUGUGCUUUGUCAACUUCGUAAUUGACAAAAAUUAAUUGUCAAAAUUAAUGGUAUUGUAAAUAGCUGAAUCACAUGAUUCUGGAGUCAGAAAUGUGGUUUAGAUUUAUUCGUUUCUGUAACUGACUGUGGCACUGGCUCACUGUGUCUUUUCUACAAACUGUGCAUGUUUUGGUGUUUCAACAUUCCCAAUUAGAAGCGGCACACAAUGUUAUGAAUUUUAAGUACUUGAUAAUUUUUCUCUUAGAGCAGAAAUUAUGUACGUGAGAAUCAUGCUUAAAUUUGCCAAUUCUUUCUAGCUGUCGUUUGAUGUACAAAGGACUUCCAAAGCUAUAGUAUGAAAAUUUAAAGUCCAAACUAAAUCCCUGAUGUUCAGUUUGCAAGGAGAGUGAAGUUACAUUAAUACUGUCCAUACCAGAGUAAGUUAUGGGAAUUUUCAUCUCUGUACUGUAGGUUCAUAUUAUUCAUUCCCUCCCACUUCUAAAAUCUUCCAAAAUUUAGAGAAAUUUUUUUUCUACACUCAACCCAAACUACUAUUUUAUAGUAGCAUAUAGAUACUUUUUUUUUUUCAAAUUAAGAUCUUCAUGUCUUAUCUUAGAUUAAUUCCCGAAAGAGGAAAAUGUCUCCUUAUAUCAGUGGAUACAAAAAUGAAAUACAGGACUUUCUUAACUUGUUUUACCCUGUGAUGUCACUUAAUCUCUGUACUAAGUGAAUUCUGAGUGUUUCCCCUGCUGUUUGGUCUGAAGCUGGGUCAUUUGCUUCCAUUCUUUGGCUGCCCAAUGGAGCUCCCUUAUGCAAAGUACCUUCCCAACUUCCUGUAAGGAAACUAGGGAUUGUUUGCAUUGUUACCGUUAUGGAAACCUGAGUACAGUUAAAGGGGAAAAAUCAGAAUAGUUUUGUUAAAAUUAUUAAACAUAGGAUGAAUAUUGACUUAUAUUUUUUUACCUGACAUUUGAAUUCAGUCACUGACUGAUACUGAAAAAUUUUCUUCCUAAAUCUGGUAUUUAUUAUGGCAUACUAUGAUAACUCGGAGCUCCUGUUACAUCCCCUACCCCUAAAAACGUUGAAAUGAUGAGAGGGUGUAAGCUGCACAAUAGAGGGAAGAACCAGAAUCAGAACUUAUCUGCAAGGGAUUUUGAUCUGUCUUCAUGCUACAACCUAGUUUUCAAGAAGACAGGUCUCUAAAUGGUGAUUCCAGAAUGAUUUGGUACAGUGACAGGAAGAAAUUACUUUGGGAUAUUUGCUUCUCACAAUGACCUGGUAUGCAGAUGACUCUAGUAUAAUUCAAGUAAUUGUAACUUUUAUCAGAACCUACCGUGUUUACAAAUCUCAGUCCUGCAACAGGUUUCUAAUAUACAUGAUGACGGGGAGACAAGAAUUGCAAACCUGAAGCUCUUUUCAUUUCCUCACCUUCCUUUACUUGGAAAAGCUUUCAGAAAGCUUGUGAGAGAGGACAGUUUGCAUAGCAACAUGACGUGAUUAUGUGUCUCUGCCAAGAAACUCAUAAACCAAAAUAUGGAACAAAACUAUGGCUUAACCCCAAUCUCGGUUUUGGAUUGUAUAAGCAAAAGCAUUUCAUCUAUGAAAGUUUUCUGUGUUUAUGCAGAGGCAUGUUUCAUUGUCCAUCUCAAAAGUUGAAUUGGCAUUUUAUGUUCUAUUUCUAAUUGUUAAGUGAAGCGAUAGUCCCGGUGCUUCAGUCAGCCCUCGGUCAGUGAUUUUUCUCUCCGGUGCUUUUGCCACAGUUUUUAGCAACCGGUUUCCCUACCUACAUUGUCUGCUACCUCUAGUUCAUCUUCCACGUGGUCCGUGGAGUGGUCUUUCUAAAACACAUAUCACUUUGUCAUUCCUUUGCUAAAAAUUCUUACAUAGGUUCUCCUCUUUAUAGAGGAACCUAAGUCCUUAGCGUAACAGAUAAGGGGCUCUCUGGCGUUGUCUGGUCCCACCCUUAUAGCAUCCUCAGCUACCAUUUCCUCUAGAGACCUUUGCUAAUUCAGGAAUUUGAAGCUUUUCCCAAUUCAUUGCCUUGGCAUAAUCACUUGCCAGAGAUCGAUGCUUUCAAAACUCCGUUCAGAUUUAACUUUCCGUGAAGUUCUACCUGACAACUCGUCCCCAGCCAGAGUUAAGUAUUCUGUUCAUGCUCCAUAGCACCUUGAAAUUUUCCUCUGUUAAAAUAACAUCACAUUUCAAUAAUCUGUCUAUGCCUGCUCUCUGAAUUUCUACCCUGCUCUCUGAAUUUCUCUUUGUAGUCUCAGUGCGGAGUUAGCAUGUAAUAGGACUUCAAUCAAUGUUUUUGAAGGACUGAAGGUAGGAGAGCACCCGAACUUCUUUGUAUUUUUAUACUUUUACAAAUGCAAGCUUAAAUUACCGUGAGUCACGCGAGGGGGUGUGUAUUCAUGAGCAGGUGGGCAUGCACACACUCUGGGCAAGCCAGCAGAGAACGAACGUCAAGGGAGAGGGAUUGUUUGGAAAAGGAGAAUCGUUCAUUUGCUUUAAGUCAGAAAUAUUUACCAAAUCUGAAUUCUUGUUUCUACGAAUGAGACUUAGAAAAUUUCCACAUUACUGUGAAAUUCUUGAUAUAAUGCACAAAUAUGCCCUAAAGAUUACCUUUCUCCUUUGCAGACACAUUCAGGGUUCACAGUUAUUUAAAACACAUACAUUGGUCACCUACACAAAAUAAGGUUUAAGAAAGAAUCAAAACCAAUAAUAAAGGUGAAAUUUUCUCAAAAGUAAUAGUUAGCCAGAGAUACAGGCUGAAUUUGUGUGAUUGCAGGUCAUUUGUAGCUAAUGAUUAUUUCAUUUUUUUAUGAUGCAAUGUUAGAUAGCUUGUCUGUACUGUUAUCAACCCUUAUAGAACAUAAAGACUAAAAUCUAAUACCAAACAGUUUGUUUUUCUAUCAUGAUUCUAUGAAACCUUUCCCCAUGGUCCCAAAUCAUGAUAAAGUUCAACACAAAAAGUUCUUCGUAGUUAAUAAUGUCUAAAAAUGAAAUAAAUAGUAAUAAAAAAUAUGUCAUUAAAUUAAACGCCCUCUUCCUUUGCUCACUUGAGAGACAUUUUUCUACCUGCUCUAUACUUAGCACUUAAUUAGAUGCUGGAAAAACAAUAAAGUUUGUCUUCAGAAUUAUUUUCUACAGCCUAGGAAAUUAGGUGGGGACAGGUUUUAAACCAAAUAUUUCUCCAGUGACUUCAGAGUAGCCUUGUUCCACCCAAAAAAUUAAUCAAAUUCUAUGUCAUAAAGAAUUGUUCCCAUUUUUAUGUCUAGUUUUUACACAACCACAAACAAUGUUUGACCAUCACUUUGUCAAGUACAUCUCUUCAUCAAUCUGUAGAACCCCGUUUCCACAACCAUAUAUGCUAUGUGUGGUCCAAGAGACUAACAGACUUGUCCAACAAGGGUUAAAUUUCAAGUCCAUUUUAGGAAGGUGCAUAUCCCUAUUAAUGCCACGUACACCACAAUAUAUGAGGUAUGCAUUGGAAACCCACAGCAGAGGGGAAAAAUUAUAAAGUUAUGCUUUCUGGUAUACUUCAAAGACUCUGCUUGAAGUUAUGGGUUGGUAUUUCCACCUCAAUUAUUUUUAAUGGGGAGUACGGAGUACUAAUAUUUAGCAGGUAGCAUACUUAUCUGAGAAUAUAGUAAAUACACAACUUGUGUUUGUAUGCCUUGGUGUCCUGAUAUAGAUGAAAGAAAACAAAAAACAUUUGAGUCAUAAAAAAAUUAAUUUCUCUGAAUAUUUAUUGAUGGUUAGGCAAUAGGGUUCCUUUAUGCAAAUGGAAAAAUUCUUUAUCUUUAUUGUCGGUAAGUAUGGAAAAAACCUUACCUGUAUGUGUAUUUACAUUUUAAUGGGCAUAUUUUGAAGUCAUUCUUUUCAUCAGCAUCAAGUAUCAACCAUUUCUUUGUUCUCUAGCAAAAGGGAAUUCUUUCUUUGAUACAACUUUACUCUUUGUUCGAUAUUAUAAAAGGUCCACAAAAGAAGCGGGCUCAGAAGGCUGAGCACUUAAUUUCACCUUUCAAUGAAGCUAAUCAGGAAUUAUUUGCCUCCUACUUACCAUCAUAUUGAAAAACCUAACAAUAGAGCUCCUUUUGUCCCUUACAUUCCAAAAGAUAGUUUUAAUCUAGCCUUUGCCCUGUUAUUUAUCAUUAAGAAUUUACUACAUUUUGGUAGUUGGUUUUGAAACUUUUACUUGUAUCUGAAAGAUGCAGAUCAUAUUUAUUUAUUACACAAUGGGCUCUGUUUGCUGCAGAAAAGAGUGAAACUUUUAACUGCUUAGCACACUUGCCAGUGAAAUAUACCUGACAGAGCAGAGGUUAUAACUUUGGCUCUAAUUACUUUUAAUAAUGGUAAGAAAAUGUGUUUUGUUUGUUUACAUGCUGUUUACAAUGGCAUAAUUUUUAAAAUAUAUACAAUUGAGAUAUUUAUUGCAUACUAUUUUAAAGAUGUUUUAUGUGUUUUCACCUUUGGAAUAUAUUGUUACAGUUACUUAUACCGAUAAUUUGGGUGGCUUUGUUAAUGUAGCUAGUAAUUUCUAUGACUACUAAGUGACCAGUUUUCCGUGCCUUUUAUUGUGGGAUGCAUGAUUAUGUAUUUAUUGUACGGAAGCCACUGAUGUGUGUAUUUUUGUACUUUGCUGAGAGUAAUGGUUGAUCUCGAUGUACAUGAUGAUGAGAGAUGCCUUUCCCAAAGGGCACUGCCUUGAGAUCGUCCUUCUCAAAUAAAAAAGAAUGCAUUUGGAAAA